GGUUUCGUGGUGUAGUUGGUUAUCACGUCAGUCUACACUGAAGGUCUCCGGUUCAAGUUCCGGGCGAAAUCA
rnacentral:tRNA from 1 species